GACGAACGCUGGCGGCGUGCUUAACACAUGCAAGUCGAACGGAAAGGCCCUGCUUUUGUGGGGUGCUCGAGUGGCGAACGGGUGAGUAACACGUGAGUAACCUGCCCUUGACUUUGGGAUAACUUCAGGAAACUGGGGCUAAUACCGGAUAGGAGCUCCUGCUGCAUGGUGUGGGUUGGAAAGUUUCGGCGGUUGGGGAUGGACUCGCGGCUUAUCAGCUUGUUGGUGGGGUAGUGGCUUACCAAGGCUUUGACGGGUAGCCGGCCUGAGAGGGUGACCGGCAACAUUGGGACUGAGAUACGGACCAGAAUCCAACGGGAGGCAGCAGUGGGGAAUAUUGCACAAUGGGAGGAAGCCUGAUGAAGAAACGCAGCGUGCGGGAUGACGGCCUUCGGGUUGUAAACCGAUUUAGCAUGUGACGAAGCGUGAGUGACGGUAAUGGGUAAAGAAGCACCGGCUAACUACGUG
rnacentral:rRNA from 1 species